AACACUCGCGCUGUAUGCCAUGGUCAUCAUGCUCCACGAUAGAACGAGUACAUCUAACGAGCUAAUAACCGUUCCAAUUAUUUGGAAAAGCCCGAAAUCGCCAGUUUCUUUGAUGAUCUUUCCAAGAGAAACGGCCUCUUCUUGAAUGACAUCCGAUUCUAUUUCGCUCUCCUUCGCUGCAGCCAUUAGAACCAAUUCGCAACCUCCGCGCAGUGAUUUGACGGGAACCAGCAUAGCUGUAUGUGAGAGCAAGGAACGACAACUCUGCAUGGAGAUUGCUUCUGCAGACGGAACAUCAAGGGCAUGUCUUAGUAAUAACAAAGGGAAGCAAUCGCACACUGUCUGAGGUGCAUUGGAUCAAGUCAACAUCUAAAAACCAAAUACGUUAGUGGAUAUUUGUUGGAAAUCAAGCUGCAAACACAUGGUGAUGCUGAUAUCAGUCAGGGAAUAGAGAGGCUCCAUGGUUACAUACAGACCUUGUUUCCUAUAGCAACCGUUGCUGAGCAGUUUAGUGAAAGAGUCCAAUUUAAAGUACCAAUAUAUGUAGCUCAGUCUUUGGCGGAGAUAUUUGAUUUAGUAAAAUAUAUUUUUUCAAGUAAUGGUUUAAAUUCAUUAUGACAAAUCAUAAGUACAAUGUUUUGGUGUGUGGCUACUUAUUGUAUAUUUGUACAGAAUAUGUUUAAAUGAAAUAAGUUUCAUUAAAUAAUUAAAAAUAUAAUUCUAAUAUCACUAAUAAAAAGCCAACAGACAAAACAUGUAUUUUAUAUAUGCAAUGCAGAAAAAAAUGUUUGAUUUAUUGGACCUCACUAUAGUAAUAAACAUUAACGGAC